rnacentral:rRNA from 1 species
CUUGCUUUCUUUGCUGGCGACCGGCGCACGGGUGAGUAACACGUAUCCAACCUGCCCUUUACUCGGGGAUAGCCUUUCGAAAGAAAGAUUAAUACCCGAUAGCAUAAUGAUUCCGCAUGGUUUCAUUAUAAAGGAUUCCGGUAAAGGAUGGGGAUGCGUUCCAUUAGUUUGUUGGCGGGGUAACGGCCCACCAAGACUACGAUGGAUAGGGGUUCUGAGAGGAAGGUCCCCCACAUUGGAACUGAGACACGGUCCAA